UUAAGCAUAUUAAUAAGCGGAGGAAAAGAAACCAACAGGGAUAUUCUCAGUAACGGCGAGUGAAGAGAAUACAGUCCAGCGCCGAAUCGUAUUGCUCGAAAGGGUGAUACGACAUGUGGUGUGAAACAGGCGGCUGUUGAUGUUGUCGAUGCGUGUAAGUCUUCUUGAGCGGGGCUCAGUCCCAGAGAUGGUGCUAGGCCCGUAUCGCGCAUGACAAGUACAGCAACGCCCGCUUGUGGAGAGUCAGGUUGUUUGGGAACACAAUCUAAAGCCGGUGGUACACUCCAUCGAAGGCUAAAUAUGACCACGAGUCCGAUAGCGAACAAGUACCGUGAGGGAAAAUUGAAAAGCACUUUGAAGAGAGAGCGAAAUAGUGCGUGAAACCGCUUAGAGGCAAGCAGAUGGAUUCUCGAAGGUGUGCAUAGGAUUUAUUUCCUAGUUCUCACGCCACCACUGUUGUUGACGUGCACCAUGCGCUGACAUUUGGACGCUUGAGAUUGGGACUUGUGCCUGCUUGAGACGCUCGGUGUUGGACGCGUUGUGUUUCUGUGGCAUGCAAUAACAGAGCAGAGCAUUUGUCGUCGCUGUAAAGCGCCGACUGUGGCCGCUUGCUGAUGCAUUGUCGUUGUGGCGAGGCGCAAGCUUCGACAUGCGAUAUGUAUUGCAAAUCGGCUAUUAGUACCGGCAAGACGACUUUAAGACUCGGUGGCGAGUAGA
rnacentral:rRNA from 1 species